rnacentral:rRNA from 1 species
CAAGGAAUAUUGCGCAAUGGACGAAAGUCUGACGCAGCAACACCGCGUGGAGGAUGAAGGCCUUCGGGUUGUAAACUCCUUUUCUGGGGGAAGAGAACGGACGGUACCCCAGGAAUAAGUCUCGGCUAACUACGUGCCAGCAGCCGCGGUAAAACGUAGGAGGCGAACGUUAUCCGGAUUUACUGGGCGUAAAGCGCAUGCAGGCGGUUUCUUAAGUCGGACGUGAAAGCUCCUGGCUCAACUGGGAGAGGUCGUUCGAAACUGAGAAACUUGAGGAUGGUAGAGGAGAGUGGAAUUCCCGGUGUAGUGGUGAAAUGCGUAGAUAUCGGGAGGAACACCAGUGGCGAAGGCGGCUCUCUGGGCCAUUCCUGACGCUAAGAUGCGAAAGCCAGGGGGGAGAACGGGAUUAGAAACCCCGGUAUUCCUGGCCGUAAACGAUGUCAACUAGGUGUAGGGGGUAUCCAACCCCUCUGUGCUGUAGCUAACGCGUUAAGUUGACCGCCUGGGGACUACGGCCGCAAGGCUAAAACU